GAACGGAAGGGGAGGGAAGCGGGAGAGGCGCUGGGUUCCCCGGGGCAGGAAGCGGCGGCCGGGGGCUCCGGGAAGGGCCCGGGUGAGGGGCGCCUCCGGGUCCCGGCAGCCAUGCCCUUGUCUCCCUCCCGGGCACGGAGCCGGGGCCCGGCGGGGCGGCGAAGCGCGGUGAGGGACCGGGACAGGGAGCGGCAGCACCGAGCCCAGCUCCAGCCGCAGUCGUUCUUCAGCCCCAGCUCUGUCCUGGCUCAGCUCCAGCCCCACAGCAGUGAUUUCAGCUCCAGCCCUGCCAUCUUUAGUCCAGCUCUGGGUGAUUUCAGCUCAGGCCCUGUGGUUUUUAUUUCAGCUCUGAGUGAUUUCAGCCCCAGCCCUACAGUUUUGAUUUCAACUCCAGCUCCAGGUUUGGUAUUUCAGCUCCAGCCCCACAGCAGUGAUUUCAGCCCUGGCCCUACAGUUUUUAUUUCAGCUCUGAGUGAUUUCAGCUCUGGCCGUACAGUAUUUAUUUCAGCUCUGGCCCUGAAGGAUUUCUUUCAGCUCCAGCCCCAGGUUCAGUAUUUCAGCUGUUAGAUUUCAGCUCCGGCCCUACAGUUUUUAGUCCAGCUCUGUUAGAUUUCAGCCCCAGCUGUACAGUUUUUAUUUCAGCUUCAGGUUUGGUAUUUCAGCUCCAGCUGCAGUCAUUCUUCAGCCCGAGCCCCACAUCAGACAUUUCAGCCCCGGCACUACAGUUUUUAUUCCAGCUCUGAGUGAUUUCAGCUCCAGGUUUGGUGUUUCAGCUCCAGCUGCAGUCGUUCUUCAGCUCCAGCUCUGUCACAUCUCAGCCGCAGCCCCACAGCAGUGAUUUCAGCUCCAACCCUGCCAUCCUGAUUUCAUCUCCCACCCUACAGUAGCUAUUGAACCCCAGGAUUUCCACUCCAGGCCUGUGCUGUUUCCCCUCCCACCCCCCCCCACUCUUUAUUUCACCCCCCAGCCUCACAGACUUUCUUACGGCUCCAGCUCUGCGUUGUUUCAGCUUCAGCCCUGCAGUGUUUAGCUCAGCCUCAGCUCUACAUCUUCCUGUUGCCUCCGUGUUCUCACAGCAGCUCUGGGGGCUGUUGAUAAGGUAGUAAGUCAAUCACUGUCAUCACUCAACUAUCAAAACUGUCCCACUGUGUCUGUCCCCUGAAUAAAGUGUUCCUGUUGUGUGUGUCCCCAUUUCA